ensembl:misc_RNA Metazoa_SRP Metazoan signal recognition particle RNA
GCCAGGUGUGGUGGUGCACACCUGUAAUCCCAGCUACUCGGGAGGCUGAGACACGAGAAUUGCUUGAACCUGGGAGGCCGAGGUUGCAGUGAGCUGAGAUUUGCACCACUGCAUUCCAGCCUGGGUGACAGAGUGAGACUCCGUCUCAA